UAGAAUUCAGCAUAAAUGAGGAUCCAGAUAUACCUAGAAAUCAUACCACACAUGCUAUAUUAUCUAUAGUAGUAUCGUGUCCUAAAUCACCUCAAGAGGCCCAUCUCAUAUAUGCUAUCAUAUCCUCACAAGCCUUCUAACAUGCAACGUGGUCCAUAUCUUGCACAAUAUGAAUAAACUACGACUCAAACUGUAAAUCAUCUAAAACUAGGUGGAUGUA
rnacentral:lncRNA from 1 species